UUCUUUGUCUAUACGUGUUAGCAAUCUACCGCGUUUUUAUCUUCCCCAUUGUAAUUGUAUUGCGUCUGCACGUGUUGACGAUCGUGCAUCAGAUCGAUAUGUUCUGGAUUCUUCUCAUAUUUCUGUUUCAUACUUUUCUCGCCAUCAACCACACAUGAUCGAAACUCCACUUGGCUUCCACCGUUUCUUUUCCCCAAUCAUAUUACUCCACCAUAUCUUAUCUAAACCGAUUCGUGUCCCCUCUAACGUCUCACCCCUGCUACUCACCAUCGAUUUAUCCACUUUAUUUCGACAGGGAAGCAGCAAGAACCAAGAAUGCAUUCCAGCGCUGCUGGUGUUGGUGGUGCGGCGACGUGGGUUGCUGGUGGCGGUGACUGGAGGCGUUGUGCUCUUCAGGUGUCGCAAAUCGAUUGCUUCGUGGCAGUUCUAUUCCAUCGCUACGAGUUCCGAUCAAUUUAGUCCAGGUAACGUGGCUCACCAUGGCACCACCAUGGUCCAACCCACCGUCGCUCUCCACCACCGAUUGUCCCUACAGGUGAUUCUCCCAGGAACUCAUGGUGUGCGAUUAUAGCUUCAUCUCCUGAUUUCCUUAUUCCAUUCCUUCACUGAUCGAGCCUUGAUUGCGUCGUCGAUGACUACAACCCAGAAAUCAGUUUAUUUUGUUAUUUAGGGCACUUGAAAUGCUAGAGAAGAAAGAAAAAGUGCUUCUGAAGAAAGUUGGUGUAAAGGUUGAACAGAGAAAGGAGUUGACUAGAGCGUAAAACAAAAGGGCUGCAAUACAGAGUGUUUGAAGCGAAAGGUAUUUUAUGAACAACAAAUUCAAUAGCUUUGCAAUUUUCAAUUCUGUGUUCAUGAUCAGGCUAAUUGUUUGGUUCGAUAAUGUCAAUGGAGAUUUCAAGGUGUUCGCCAUCUAUUGUCAGGUUUAGAUUUUUACUGUUUGCUAAUGCAACUUUUACUCAAAAAUAUUUAUUUAUUACCUUUUUGUAUGCAUUGAAUGCAACUUUAGUUUUUAGUAUGUUCAUGGAAUGGGCCCUCUUUGUUUUUAUUUGUAUGUGUUUUACUUUUACAUAUUUUGCAGUCAUUUAGUUUUUCUUAAAAUUGCAAUUGAUAAUGACAUACCAUACAUACUACACAAAAAUUGUUUUCAGUUGACCUGUUUAUUAUGAUUCCAAAUAAAUUUUGGCUAAUUGAUUUCAUUUGUUUUUGACAUUUUUGUAUGAAAUGCUAAAAGCUGCCAAUUAAAAACUUACAUCAGGUUACAUCAGGCUAAAAGUUUUGGUUUGUUUGUAGAAUUUUUGUUCCAAAUUUCAUGGUUCCAAGAAGAAGAUGAAUCAAUCGAGUUCCAUUUUGGCAUAGAUAUAUGUCAACUUUCAGGUUGGGAUUUUCACGAUGACGGUUUCAAGUUUCAUCAUUAUAUAUAACAUUUCCCUCAAAAUGAUUUUGAGAAUGAAAUGCAUUAAAAGGUAAAAGUUUCCUGUAAAAAACUCGAAUGCCCUGUCACUAGAAAAACAAAAUUACAAAAAAUGACCAAGGCUUUGAGUUUUGUCAGCUUUUGUUUAUUUACAUUUUGAAAGUUCAAUAUUCACUUUAACAAUUUUAGUAGUUAUUCAAAUAUUAUAUAUUUUAUAAUUUAUAAUUUCAUACAUUAAUUUUUUUUAUCAUCAUGCAUACUUUUCUGAUAUCCCGUUUUUUCUUGCCGAUUCUUCUUACAUCAACAUUUUUGAUGAACCCAUCCAAUUGAUAUGGCUGCAGCACACGUAGCAUGGAUGCGUUUUGUUCUUCUCUAAACACAUGAUGAUGGUGUUAAGGAUUUUAUUAUUGUUCUUACUCAGUCUCAUGCUGGUGUUGAGGUUUUUAUUAGUGCUAAAAAAGUUCAGUGCUUUGGAUGCCCUUGGUUUUGGAAGUUAAGUAACUAGUUGACUUAUUUCUUCUGACGAAAAUGGUAUAAAAAUGCAGCUGUCGCCUCAGUAGAACCGAUUAUAAUUUAUACGGGUCUUCUUUUACAUGACGGGUAAUUAUAAAAGCAAAACUUUUGUAAAUUGAAUUAACCUUUUAAAUUUUAAUGAUUAAGCAGAAGAUAUAGAUAGUUUAAUUAUUGUAAUCAAAAUUUUGGAGAUGAUUAUGUCAUGGUUUACGUUCCCAUUUGUUAAAUCAACAACCCGGGUACUUCAUUGGAUGCAUCCAACUGCUACAUUGUGUAUCUGUAUUACAACAUCAUACUUUCAUUUAAUUAUUUUAACCGCAGUUGCCGAUGGGGGUGGCUGAUGGAGGUAGUAGUGGCAGUAUCUGGUGAGGUUAAUGAUGAUUUCUUACAAUUGAACAACUUUGAAGUAACAGCCAAACAUUAGUAAAAUUGUCAAAUUGUUAUAUCGUUCAAUUUAUUUUUUUAUAGCGUACACAUGUUUAUACUCUGCACCAUUCGCUGAAAUCAGGUUGUUCAAGGCCAAUGGCUGAGAAAUAUUUGAAGGUUAGUUAUGAUUUUUUGCUAACCGGCGAAGAUAGUGGAUAAUAUCAAAACGGUAUUAUUCACUUGGAUAAAACAUAGAAUCAAAAAAGAUGUCUUGGAUUGGAAUUUAUGAUGUAACAAUCCGCUAAAAUGCAGAUAAGUGUAUGUAGGUGUUAUCUUGUAAAACUAAUUAUUUUGUACUCUUUCGCUUUUCUAGCAUCUUGCUAGUGAAGUCUUUAUAAUAUAUUUGUCGGUUCCAAAAAAGAAAAAAAAAAAGUUAUGACUUUUUGCUCACCCAUUAAUCUUUAAUCUUUUCUUUUAACAAUUAUUUGUUUUUUUUAUUCUAUUUUGCAUGUAUUAAUAUAACUUACGGAUCUUAGUUUUUAUCCAUUCAAAGAGAUUUGCAUUUGUAAAACCAUGUGGUGGUGUUGAAGGAGUAGUUACUCUAAAACACAUAAACCAGAAAAUACUGACUUGACCACCAUAAAAAUCAAAGAAAACAAGGAGGAAAAGAUAGCAUUACAAUAUUAGUAAAAUUUAAAAUCAAAGAAAACAAGGAGGAAAAGAUAGCAUUACAAUAUUAGUAAAAUUUCUAUAGCUUGAUUCAUAUAUUUAUAUUGAAAAACUAAAAGUCACUUUAGAAUGAUAAAUUAUGAUAAUGGAAUUGUUUUAUUUAAAAUACAAUUUUUAUGUUCAUUUUAGCUGCAUUUAGUGAUUGAUUUCUCAUUCUUUUUACUUGAAUCAAUCUCUUUUUCUUUUUAUUAUAGGUAUUCAUCCGUUUUUUUUAAUUUUUCAUUGAAAUUAACUACCUGUUGAAGACAAUUAUGAUGAUAUGUACUCAAAUUAUAGGCUUAAACUACUUGGGUUGUGGUGACUUGGUAAGACAUGUGGAAGAUAUGGUGGAUAACCUAUUGACCCAUGUUCAAAUCCUAGCACUACUCAGUCCUUGUGGCCAUGGAGGUUCGCCUGCAGUGACUCCAGGGCAUGAGGCAAAGUCUCAUGUUUGCAGCGGGGGAUUAGUCGGUGCGCGUAAGCUGGCCCGGAAACCCUCGUUAGGGAAGUUCCCUUUCCAAAAAAAAAAAUUAUAAGCUUAUAAAUUGAUAUAUGGCUUCAAUGAUUAGAAGAAUGUAUAUGUACAUGUAUUAAACUUAUUUUCCAUUUGAUUUUUAUCCAGCCUUGUAGAAGAAUAUAGUUGACCUAAAAGUUUGACUUCAGAAGUUAGCAAAUCCCAAGUAAGUUUAUCCUUUCUAUUACCCGUCUAAAUUUUUUACACCUGAAAAAGAUUAAACUUGCCACAUUUUUUCUUGUCAUGUUACAUAUAACAUAAGUGUUUGCUUGAUAUAACAGAUGCAUCUUGAAAGUAGUCACAUUUUUCCAACCAAACAGGUGAAACCCUAUGGAAUCACUUGUGACUACUUUGAAGAUGCAUCUUUCUGUAAUUUUUUUCUUUUCCCUUAUUCUUUUCAUUAAUCCAGAGCACCUACCGAUCUCCCCUUUGCGAAUGAAAGAGAGGUCGGCUGAACGAUACUUAUCCUUAUAAUAUACUUGCAACAAUUUUGAAGCUACAUUCUUUCAACUUGUGUUUUAUUAUUCAUUUGAAAAAAUUUGUACAACUUUUACAUUGUUAUUAAACUCUCCGAAAAAACAAUUGUUUGGACUUUGUUCUUUUACUAAAAAAAUCGUGAUUUUAACA